UUUAUAUUUGAGUUUAUGGUUUAGUAAUUAGUGAUUAGGGUUUAGUAUUUAGAGUAAUAGGGGUGAGUUUGAGGCCAAUAUUAGAUUUUGAGUUUUAGGUUUAGAGUUUAGGGUUUAUGGUUUAUAUUUGGGUUUAGGGUUUAUACUUGGGUUUAGGGUUUAGUGAUUAGGAUUUAGGGUUUAGUAUUUAGAAGGGCGGGGUUGGGAUUUAAGUUUAGUGAACAUGUAUCGUUUCAUUUGACGAUUAAUAAAGAUUGUUCUAUUUUGUUUACCAAUAUGUAUUAUACUAUUUAUUUUAUUCCAUUAUGUUUGGGUUUAUGGGCCAUAUUGAGUUUAGGAUUUAGUGAUUAGAGUUUAAAGUUUAGUAUUUGGAAGGUGCGUGGUUAAGGUUUGGGUUUAGUGAUAGCAGUUUAGGGUUUAAUAUUCAAAAUAUGCCUUCAAGUGUCCAAUAUUGGAAAAAAAAUUAUAGAUUGUAUUUGAGUUUAUAAGUUCAUGUCUAGGGUUUAAAUUUACAAAGUAGAGGUUUGGGUAUAGUAAACCACAUAUAUAUAUAUAUACUAUUUGGGUUUAUACUUCCUUAAUUAGGGUUUAGCUUAAUAAUUAAUGGUGUGUCUUGUAUUGUUGUAUUUUUGCGGGUGAAGAUGAUUUACUAUUUGCAUUUCAUACUAUGGAUACACAAUUGAAUUUUUUUGAUUAUUUUAAACAUUCGUGUACUAUACUACUUAGACUAUAUGAAAUAGAAAAUAUGUAACAUGUUAACCAAGUAAAUGUGCCUUCAAGUGUCAAAUAUUAGGAAAUAAUUUAUAGAUUGUAUUUGAGUUUAUAGGUUCAUGCAUAGGGUUUAGAUUUAGUAAGUAGAAGUUUGGGUUUAGUAAACCAUAUUAUAUUUUUUGUUCCAUUCUAUCUGGGUUUAGGGUCUAUACUUGGGUUUAGGGUCUAUACUUAGGUUUAGGGUUUAGUGAUUAGGAUUUAGAGUUUAGUGAUUAGCAUUUAGGAUUUAGUAUCGGGGAUUGAAGUUUGGGUUUAGUGAUAACAGUUUAGGGUUUAGUAUUCAAAAGUUAGGGUUUAAUAUAAAAUCAGUUUCAUUCAAAUGUUUGACAAUGUUAGGGUCAUCUCUAGUUCUUUUUCAUCAACAAGUACUUUUAUUUCUUCUCGUACUAUUUUACAUAUGAUGCUCAACUAAUAUAAAUAGAAUAAGCAUUUGUAUACUAUUUUAUACAAUGUCCAUACUAUGUAUGUAUAGUACUUGAAAAUAUUAUAAAAUAUUAUAUAUUUAAGAUUUUGGUUUUCUUUUAAAUAUUUAUUAUAGCUUAGAUCUGGGUUAAGGAUUUAGUGGCUAGGGUUUAGAGUUUAGUAAUUAGGGGUUGGGUUUAGAGUUUAGUAUGAUAUUUUCCAUCUUUAUAUAGUAUAGUUUAAUAUCACAAAAUAUUAUAUAUAUUUUCAGAUUUUAAUUUUAUUUUAAAAUUAUA
rnacentral:lncRNA from 1 species